rnacentral:misc_RNA from 1 species
CAUUCAGUAGCCCAGCUACUUGUUUACACCCUUGUCUUUUUGCGUACUUAUCGUUUCCUCGGCGGGCUUGCCUGCCGGUUGGACAACUUUAUAACCUUUUUAAAUCUUCAAUCAGCGUCUGAAUAAUGUACAAUAAUUA